CAGGAUUAGAUACCCUGGUAGUCCACACCGUAAACGAUGAAUGCCAGACGUCAGCAAGCAUGMUUGUUGGUGUCACACCUAACGGAUUAAGCAUUCCGCCUGGGGAGUACGGUCGCAAGAUUAAAACUCAAAGGAAUUGACGGGGGCCCGCACAAGCGGUGGAGCAUGUGGUUUAAUUSGACGCAACGCGCAGAACCUUACCAACCCUUGACAUACUUGUCGCGGAUUCCAGAGAUGGAUUCCUUCAGUUCGGCUGGACAAUGUACAGGUGCUGCAUGGCUSUCGUCAGCUCGUGUCGUGAGAUGUUCGGUUAAGUCCGKCAACGAGCGCAACCCACGUCMUUAGUUACCAGCAUUUAGUUGGGUACCCUAAGGAGACUGCCGGUGAUAAGCCGGAGGAAGGUGUGGACGACGUCAAGUCAUCAUGRCCYUUACGGGUUGGGCUACACACGUGCUACAAUGGCAUCUACAGUGAGUUAAUSUCCAAAAGAUGUCUCAGUUCGGAUUGGGGUCUGCAACUCGACCCCAUGAAGUUGGAAUCGCUAGUAAUCGCGGAACAGCAUGMCGCGSUGAAUACGUUCCCGGGCCUUGUACACACYGCCCGUCACACCAUGGGAAUUGGGUCUACCACGAAGGUGGUGCGCCAACUAUU
rnacentral:rRNA from 1 species